rnacentral:tRNA from 1 species
GCGCCCGUAGUUCAACGGAUAGAAUGCAGGCCUCCGAAGCCUGAUACCGUGGUUCGAUUCCACGCGGGCGCA